UGGGGAAUAUUGCACAAUGGGCGCAAGCCUGAUGCAGCGACGCCGCGUGAGGGAUGACGGCCUUCGGGUUGUAAACCUCUUUCAGCAGGGACGAAGCGAAAGUGACGGUACCUGCAGAAGAAGCACCGGCUAACUACGUGCCAGCAGCCGCGGUAAUACGUAGGGUGCAAGCAUUGUCCGGAUUUAUUGGGCGUAAAGAGCUCGUAGGCGGUCUGCCACGUCGGAUGUGAAAACUCGGGGCUCAACCCCGAGCCUGCAUUCGAUACGGGCAGACUAGAGUGUUGCAGGGGAGACUGGAAUUCCUGGUGUAGCGGUGAAAUGCGCAGAUAUCAGGAGGAACACCGGUGGCGAAGGCGGGUCUCUGGGCAACUACUGACGCUGAGGAGCGAAAGCGUGGGGAGCAAACA
rnacentral:rRNA from 1 species